rnacentral:rRNA from 1 species
UUGAACGCUGGCGGCAGGCCUAACACAUGCAAGUCGAGCGGUAGCACAGAGAGCUUGCUCUCGGGUGACGAGCGGCGGACGGGUGAGUAAUGUCUGGGAAACUGCCUGAUGGAGGGGGAUAACUACUGGAAACGGUAGCUAAUACCGCAUAACGUCGCAAGACCAAAGUGGGGGACCUUCGGGCCUCAUGCCAUCAGAUGUGCCCAGAUGGGAUUAGCUAGUAGGUGGGGUAACGGCUCACCUAGGCGACGAUCCCUAGCUGGUCUGAGAGGAUGACCAGCCACACUGGAACUGAGACACGGUCCAGACUCCUACGGGAGGCAGCAGUGGGGAAUAUUGCACAAUGGGCGCAAGCCUGAUGCAGCCAUGCCGCGUGUGUGAAGAAGGCCUUCGGGUUGUAAAGCACUUUCAGCGGGGAGGAAGGCGGUGAGGUUAAUAACCUCAUCGAUUGACGUUACCCGCAGAAGAAGCACCGGCUAACUCCGUGCCAGCAGCCGCGGUAAUACGGAGGGUGCAAGCGUUAAUCGGAAUUACUGGGCGUAAAGCGCACGCAGGCGGUCUGUCAAGUCGGAUGUGAAAUCCCCGGGCUCAACCUGGGAACUGCAUUCGAAACUGGCAGGCUAGAGUCUUGUAGAGGGGGGUAGAAUUCCAGGUGUAGCGGUGAAAUGCGUAGAGAUCUGGAGGAAUACCGGUGGCGAAGGCGGCCCCCUGGACAAAGACUGACGCUCAGGUGCGAAAGCGUGGGGAGCAAACAGGAUUAGAUACCCUGGUAGUCCACGCUGUAAACGAUGUCGAUUUGGAGGUUGUGCCCUUGAGGCGUGGCUUCCGGAGCUAACGCGUUAAAUCGACCGCCUGGGGAGUACGGCCGCAAGGUUAAAACUCAAAUGAAUUGACGGGGGCCCGCACAAGCGGUGGAGCAUGUGGUUUAAUUCGAUGCAACGCGAAGAACCUUACCUGGUCUUGACAUCCACAGAACUUUCCAGAGAUGGAUUGGUGCCUUCGGGAACUGUGAGACAGGUGCUGCAUGGCUGUCGUCAGCUCGUGUUGUGAAAUGUUGGGUUAAGUCCCGCAACGAGCGCAACCCUUAUCCUUUGUUGCCAGCGGUUAGGCCGGGAACUCAAAGGAGACUGCCAGUGAUAAACUGGAGGAAGGUGGGGAUGACGUCAAGUCAUCAUGGCCCUUACGACCAGGGCUACACACGUGCUACAAUGGCAUAUACAAAGAGAAGCGACCUCGCGAGAGCAAGCGGACCUCAUAAAGUAUGUCGUAGUCCGGAUUGGAGUCUGCAACUCGACUCCAUGAAGUCGGAAUCGCUAGUAAUCGUAGAUCAGAAUGCUACGGUGAAUACGUUCCCGGGCCUUGUACACACCGCCCGUCACACCAUGGGAGUGGGUUGCAAAAGAAGUAGGUAGCUUAACCUUCGGGAGGGCGCUUACCACUUUGUGAUUCAUGACUGGGGUG